rnacentral:rRNA from 1 species
AACGAACGCUGGCGGCAUGCCUAACACAUGCAAGUCGAACGAGACCUCCGGGUCUAGUGGCGCACGGGUGCGUAACGCGUGGGAACCUGCCCUUAGGCUCGGAAUAACUCCUCGACAGGGGUGCUAAUACCGGAUAAUGUCCUCGGACCAAAGAUUUAUCGCCUUUGGAUGGGCCCGCGUUGGAUUAGCUAGUUGGUAGGGUAAAAGCCUACCACGGCGACGAUCCAUAGCUGGUCUGAGAGGAUGAUCAGCCACACUGGGACUGAGACACGGCCCAGACUCCUACGGGAGGCAGCAGUGGGGAAUAUUGGACAAUGGGCGAAAGCCUGAUCCAGCAAUGCCGGGUGAGUGAUGAAGGCCUUAGGGUUGUAAAGCUCUUUUACCCGGGAUGAUAAUGACGGUACCGGGAGAAUAAGCACCGGCUAACUCCGUG